rnacentral:rRNA from 1 species
UAAGUCUUUACGGAGAAAGCUUUAUGCACCAUUGGAUGAGCCUGCACUUGAUUAGUUUGUUGGUGGGGUAAUGGCCUACCAAGACUGUGAUCAAUAGCUGAUUUGAGAGGAUGAUCAGCCACAUUGGGACUGAGACACGGCCCAAACUCCUACGGGAGGCAGCAGUGGGGAAUCUUGCACAAUGGAGGAAACUCUGAUGCAGCGAUGCCGCGUGAGUGAAGAAGGCCCUUGGGUUGUAUAGCUCUUUCGUCG